rnacentral:rRNA from 1 species
AUUGAACGCUGGCGGCAGGCCUAACACAUGCAAGUCGAGCGAGCGGCGGACGGGUGAGUAAUGUAUGGGGACUGCCCGAUUGAGGGGGAUAACUACUGGAAACGGUAGCUUAUACCGCAUACUAUCGGAUAACCCAUAUGGGAUUAGCUAGUAGGUGAGGUAAUGGCUCACCUAGGCGACGAUCCCUAGCUGGUCUGAGAGGAUGAGCAGCGGCACUGGGACUGAGACACGGCACAGACGCCGACGGAGGCAGGAGGGGGGAAUAGUGCGCUAUGGGAGAAAGCAUGAUGCAGCGAUGCCGCGUGUAGGUAGGAGGCCGGAGGGUUGUAGAGUUCUUACAGUCGGUAGGCGUUACCGGCAGAAGAAGCACCGGCUAACUACGUGCCAGCAGCCGCGGUAAUAC